AAACUGCAAGAAUUCUAAUGAGAAUGUUGAAGACUUGUUGUCUGGGCAUCACUCCUCAGAUGCGUCUGGCUGGGACAGUGACCUGUCAAGCAUCCUACUGCUGGUUCACCUACUUCCCCCUACUGCAAAAGGACCCAAGAGUCCUAAAAUUAGCUCGCAUCAAGCAAUCAAACAUGUUGUGAGAUAUUUGAGGAUUGGCGCCAGUGUUGAGACCUUCCUUGAGAGAUUGGAACCUGGACAACCCAUCCUCCUGUGUGUCGGUGAAGAGAAGAACAACAUCCAAAGAUUCUAUGUCAUCGUUGACCACAAGGCCAUCCCUUGCAAGGCUCAGACGUCCCUGGCAGCUUUCGAUGAACUCUUUAAGGCCCACUUCAUCUUCAGUGUUCACUACCACGAAUCCCUUAACAGCUUCUACACAUUCAUCCAAACAACUGUGUUCAACAUUGAUGUGGGAAGUACCAAGGAAAGUCCUCGUGUGAAGGAGCUCAGAGCAAGACUGCUGAACACAAGUAUCUGAGGUGACACACAUCCUUGGCUGCAAAUAUGUUGAUUUGUUUUAUCUGCAAGUUACACCACAUAAGUUCUAUGUUGCUUUGUAAGCAUUUGAGAUUUUACCAUGGUUUAUAUCCAGGAAAGACAUUACGUUUGAAAUGUGGA